GAUGAACGCUGGCGGCGUGCUUAACACAUGCAAGUCGAACGGUGAAGGCGGAGCUUGCUCUGCUGGAUCAGUGGCGAACGGGUGAGUAACACGUGAGCAAUCUGCCCCUGACUCUGGGAUAAGCGCUGGAAACGGCGUCUAAUACAGGAUACGAGCUGCGAAGGCAUCUUCAGCAGCUGGAAAGAAGAUCGGUCAGGGAUGAGCUCGCGGACUAUCAGCUUGUUGGUGAGGUAAUGGCUGACCAAGGCGUCGACGGGUAGCCGGCCUGAGAGGGUGACCGGCCACACUGGGACUGAGACACGGCCCAGACUCCUACGGGAGGCAGCAGUGGGGAAUAUUGCACAAUGGGCGAAAGCCUGAAGCAGCAACGCCGCGUGAGGGACGACGGCCUUCGGGUUGUAAACCUCUUUUAGCAGAGAAGAAGCGAAAGUGACGGUACCUGCAGAAAAAGCGCCGGCUAACUACGUG
rnacentral:rRNA from 1 species